rnacentral:rRNA from 1 species
CUCGUAGGCGGCCAACUAAGUCAGACGUGAAAUCCCUCGGCUUAACCGGGGAACUGCGUCUGAUACUGGAUGGCUUGAGAUUGGGAGAGGGAUGCGGAAUUCCAGGUGUAGCGGUGAAAUGCGUAGAUAUCUGGAGGAACACCGGUGGCGAAGGCGGCAUCCUGGACCAACACUGACGCUGAGGAGCGAAAGCCAGGGGAGCAAAC